rnacentral:sRNA from 1 species
ACCAACAGGAGAAAGUAUGUCCGCUGGUCAGGGCUGGCUUCCGGGGACACGGCAUCCAGAAGUAGGGCAGGGCUGCGUGGGACGUGCACAUUCUUGAUGGAGAGGACGCGGUGCCCCACUUGGUCCUGGCAGGACGUGACACCCUAGGAAGUAACUGGUAUGGAGUUGAGUGUCGCACAGAGAACUCGGUUGACAGGUUCUUCAGGUGUCCGUGAAGAUUCUCUGUCAAGGAGAAGAAGGUCUGUGUUUGCUUAGGCACAGAUACUCGUGUACUCCAAGCUGACUGGUGACCCCUGCUGUCCCUCCGUGAGCUCUCCUGCUGACCAUUCGCUCACCUACUCCUCUUCUCAUAGGUACUUCCCACAACCAUCCUAUACCUGCACGCUGGUGGGUUCCACCAGCCAGUCAGAUGGGUCUGAAGACAGAAGACUUGGUGGGCUUGAACUCCAUAAGGGCUAGCCUAGAACUCUAUCAAGAAGUUCUCUCCUAGGACAGAAUGCAUUCUCGUGUGUAACCACUGACUCUAAGGGUACAGUCAGUGCUGUCUCCUUCCUCUUCUGCACUCAGGUGCCACCAUAAGGAAUGAGGACAGCCUGGCUCACCCAGACCAGGGCCAGAUAACUCAAGAUACCUCACGCCAACUCUGGGACAAUCGUGGAAGCCAUCAUCUUCAUCCAUGAAGCACGUCUCCAACUGGAGACAGCCAGAGCCACAAAAUCUGAUAGCAGCAUAUAGCCUGAGCUGGAGAGGAUGAUCUGUAGAGUGUGUUUGAACUCAGAGACAUGGUGACUUCACUCUAAAUGCAAGAGCUGGCAGACUCUAGCCAGAGCCAACCUGCAAAGCUGGUGUUCCUGAAAACUAAAGAGGGAAAAAGGACACUCAGAGAGAGUGGCUA